rnacentral:rRNA from 1 species
UCAAGCGAAUAAGCGCACACGGUGGAUGCCUUGGCGGUCAGAGGCGAUGAAGGACGUGGCAGCCUGCGAAAAGUAUCGGGGAGCUGGCAACAAGCUUUGAUCCGGUAAUGUCCGAAUGGGGAAACCCACCCGCUUGCGGGUAUCCUGCAGUGAAUACAUAGCUGCUGGAAGCGAACCUGGUGAACUGAAAUAUCUAAGUAACCAGAGGAAAAGAAAUCAACCGAGAUUCCGUAAGUAGCGACGAGCGAACGCGGACUAGCCCUUAAGCUGAUUUGGUUCUAGGAAAACGCUCUGGAAAGAGCGGCCAUAGAAGGUGAUAGCCCUGUAUCUGAAAGGGCCAUUUCAGUGAAGACGAGUAGGGCGGGGCACGUGAAACCCUGUCUGAACAUGGGGGGACCAUCCUCCAAGGCUAAAUACUACUGACCGACCGAUAGUGAACCAGUACCGUGAGGGAAAGGCGAAAAGAACCCCGGAGAGGGGAGUGAAAUAGAUCCUGAAACCGUGUGCGUACAAGCAGUAGGAGCUCCGCAAGGAGUGACUGCGUACCUUUUGUAUAAUGGGUCAGCGACUUACUGUUCGUGGCAAGCUUAACCGUAUAGGGGAGGCGAAGGGAAACCGAGUCUGAUAAGGGCGCAUAGUCGCGGGCAGUAGACCCGAAACCGGGUGAUCUAGUCAUGGCCAGGGUGAAGGUGCCGUAACAGGUACUGGAGGCCCGAACCCACGUCUGUUGCAAAAGACGGGGAUGAGCUGUGAUUAGGAGUGAAAAGCUAAUCGAACCCGGAGAUAGCUGGUUCUCCUCGAAAGCUAUUUAGGUAGCGCCUCAUAUGUAUCCUCUCGGGGGUAGAGCACUGUUAUGGCUAGGGGGUCAUCGCGACUUACCAAACCAUUGCAAACUCCGAAUACCGAGACGGACUGUAUGGGAGACACACGGCGGGUGCUAACGUCCGUCGUGAAAAGGGAAACAACCCAGACCCACAGCUAAGGUCCCAAAUUCACUGCUAAGUGGAAAACCAUGUGGAAAGGCACAGACAGCCAGGAGGUUGGCUUAGAAGCAGCCACCCUUUAAAGAAAGCGUAAUAGCUCACUGGUCGAGUCGGUCUGCGGGGAAGAUUUAACGGGGCUAAGCAGUGAACCGAAGCUUGGGGUGUGCAUAUUUAUAUGUACGCGGUAGAGGAGCGUUCCGUAAGCCGUUGAAGGUGGAUUGAGAAGUCUGCUGGAGGUAUCGGAAGUGCGAAUGCUGACAUGAGUAACGAUAAUGCGGGUGAAAAACCCGCACGCCGAAAGCCCAAGGUUUCCUUGCGCAACGUUAAUCGGCGCAGGGUGAGUCGGCCCCUAAGGCGAGGACGAAAGUCGUAGUCGAUGGGAAGCAGGUUAAUAUUCCUGCACCUCGCGUAAGUGCGAUGGAGGGACGGAGAAGGUUAGGUGUACCAGGCGUUGGUUGUCCUGGGGAAAGGCGGUAGGUUUGGAUCUUUGGCAAAUCCGGGAUCCUUUAAGACCGAGCACCGAGACGAGCCUUUAAGGCGAAGUCACUGAUACCACGCUUCCAGGAAAAGCUCCUAAGCUUCAGCUUACGCAGACCGUACCGUAAACCGACACAGGUGGGUAGGAUGAGAAUUCUCAGGCGCUUGAGAGAACUCGGGUGAAGGAACUAGGCAACAUGGCACCGUAACUUCGGGAGAAGGUGCACCCUUUUUGGUGGCUCGUGCGAGCUAUAGCUGAAGAGGGUCGCAGUAACCAGGCCGCUGCGACUGUUUAUCAAAAACACAGCACUCUGCAAACACGAAAGUGGACGUAUAGGGUGUGACGCCUGCCCGGUGCUGGAAGGUUAAUUGAUGGGGUCAGCCGCAAGGCGAAGCUCUUGAUCGAAGCCCCAGUAAACGGCGGCCGUAACUAUAACGGUCCUAAGGUAGCGAAAUUCCUUGUCGGGUAAGUUCCGACCUGCACGAAUGGCGUAACGACAGCGGCGCUGUCUCCACCCGAGACUCAGUGAAAUUGAAAUCGCUGUGAAGAUGCAGCGUUCCCGUGGCAAGACGGAAAGACCCCGUGAACCUUUACUAUAGCUUUACACUGAACGUUGAGUUCGUCUGUGUAGGAUAGGUGGGAGGCUAUGAAACUGUGGCGCUAGCUGCAGUGGAGCCAUCCUUGAAAUACCACCCUGUCGUGCUUGACGUUCUAACCUGGGCCCAUUAUCUGGGUCGGGGACCGUGUAUGGUGGGUAGUUUGACUGGGGCGGUCUCCUCCUAAAGAGUAACGGAGGAGCUCGAAGGUACGCUCAGCGCGGUCGGACAUCGCGCACUGUGUGCAAAGGCAUAAGCGUGCUUGACUGCAAGAUCGACGGAUCAAGCAGGUAGGAAACUAGGACUUAGUGAUCCGGUGGUUCUGUAUGGAAGGGCCAUCGCUCAACGGAUAAAAGGUACUCCGGGGAUAACAGGCUGAUACCGCCCAAGAGUUCAUAUCGACGGCGGUGUUUGGCACCUCGAUGUCGGCUCAUCACAUCCUGGGGCUGUAGUCGGUCCCAAGGGUAUGGCUGUUCGCCAUUUAAAGUGGUACGCGAGCUGGGUUCAGAACGUCGUGAGACAGUUCGGUCCCUAUCUGCCAUGGGCGUUGGAGAUUUGAGAGGGGCUGCUCCUAGUACGAGAGGACCGGAGUGGACGAACCUCUGGUGUUCCGGUUGUCACGCCAGUGGCAUUGCCGGGUAGCUAUGUUCGGAAGCGAUAACCGCUGAAAGCAUCUAAGCGGGAAGCGCGCCUCAAGAUGAGAUCUCCCGGGGCACAAGCCCCCUGAAGGAACCAUAUAGACUAUGUGGUUGAUAGGUCAGGUGUGUAAGUACAGCAAUGUAUUGAGCUAACUGAUACUAAUGAUCCGUGUGGCUUGACCAU